rnacentral:rRNA from 1 species
AUGUCUCCCUCAAAAGGUGUUAUGUUCUAUGGACCUCCGGGCUGCGGUAAGACCUUGUUGGCCAAGGCAAUUGCUAACGAGUGCCAGGCUAACUUUAUUAGCAUCAAAGGACCGGAGCUGCUUCCCAUGUGGUUUGGUGAGAGUGAGGCCAAUGUGCGUGAGAUUUUCGACAAGGCUAGGGGGUCAGCGCCAUGUGUCCUCUUCUUUGAUGAGCUUGACUCAGUUGCCACUCAGAGAGGGAACAGUGUUGGUGAUGCCGGAGGUGCCGCUGAUAGAGUGCUGAAUCAGCUUCUUACCGAGAUGGACGGAAUGAAUGCAAAGAAAAUUGUGUUCAUCAUCGGUGCUACCAACAGGCCAGACAUCAUAGACCCUGCCUUGCUUAGGCCUGGACGCCUUGAUCAACUUAUCUACAUUCCUCUGCCUGAUGUUGAAUCCAGGCACCAGAUCUUUAGAGCCUGUCUCAGGAAGUCUCCUGUGGCCAAAGAUGUUGACUUGAAUGCUCUCGCCAAAUACACACAGGGGUUCAGCGGUGCAGAUAUCACUGAAAUCUGCCAGCGUGCAUGCAAAUAUGCCAUCAGAGAAAACAUUGAGAAGGACAUGGAAAAGGAGAGGCGACAGAAGGAAAACCCUGAAGCCAUGGAGGAAGACGAAGUGGACGAGGUCGCUGAGAUCAAGGCUGCUCACUUCGAGGAGAGCAUGAGGUAUGCACGCCGGAGUGUUAGUGAUGCUGAUAUUCGCAAAUACCAGGCCUUUGCUCAGACACUGCAGCAGUCCCGUGGUUUCGGUAGCGAGUUCUGA